UACGUAGGCAGCGAGCGUUGUUCGGAGUUACUGGGCGUAAAGAGUGCGUAGGCGGGUAUUUAAGUCAGGGGUGAAAUCCCAGAGCUCAACUCUGGAACUGCCUUUGAUACUGGGUACCUAGAGUAUGGAAGAGGUGAGUGGAAUUCCGAGUGUAGAGGUGAAAUUCGUAGAUAUUCGCAAGAACACCAGUGGCGAAGGCGGCUCACUGCCCAAUA
rnacentral:rRNA from 1 species